rnacentral:rRNA from 1 species
CAGCCGCCGCGGUAAUACGUAGGUGGCAAGCGUUGUCCGGAAUUAUUGGGCGUAAAGGGCUCGCAGGCGGUUUCUUAAGUCUGAUGUGAAAGCCCCCGGCUCAACCGGGGAGGGUCAUUGGAAACUGGGAAACUUGAGUGCAGAAGAGGAGAGUGGAAUUCCACGUGUAGCGGUGAAAUGCGUAGAGAUGUGGAGGAGCACCAGUGGCGAAGGCGACUCUCUGGUCUGUAACUGACGCUGAGGAGCGAAAGCGUGGGGAGCGAACAGGAUUAGAUACCCCUGUAGUCCCUGUCUCUUAUAC